rnacentral:rRNA from 1 species
GAACGAGGAUCAGAUAGCUUGCUAACUGGUCUUAGUGGCGGACGGGUGAGUAACGCGUAAGAAUCUGCCCCUAGGAGAGGGAUACCAACUGGAAACGGUUGUUAAUACCUCAUACGCUGAGGAGUAAAAUGGUUUCAUACCGCCUAGGGAUGAGCUUGCGUCUGAUUAGCUAGUUGGUGGGGUAAUAGCCUACCGAGGCAAUGAUCAGUAGCUGGUCUGAGAGGACAAUCAGCCACACUGGGACUGAGACACGGCCCAGACUCCUACGGGAGGCAGCAGUGAGGAAUUUUCCGCAAUGGGCGAAAGCCUGACGGAGCAAUGCCGCGUGGAGGAAGACGGCCCGUGGGUUGUAAACUCCUUUUCUUGGAGAAGAACAACUGACGGUAUCCAAGGAAUAAGCAUCGUGCUAACUCCGUG